rnacentral:lncRNA from 1 species
CACUAGCUACGAGAUAUAAAAAAUCUAAUGUAUAUUUAUUUUUUGCUCAAUCAUUAAUGAAAUGCAAAUAGUGAAAAGAUAAUUUGCUUUUAGCAGCCAGUAUGGUUCAAUUUUUUCAAAAUACGCAUAAAACAUUGAUUAUGAAUUCGACCUCAUAGGAUCCGUAUUAAUGUGAACUUCAAUUUAACCACUCAGCUUGAG